CGAGUAAGCUGGGCGAUCGCGGGCGCAGUGCCGAAAGGCCGCGUACGAGGAAAGUCCGGGCUCCGCAGGACAAGGGUGCCGGGUAACUCCCGGUGAAGGCGACUUUAAGGAUAGUGCAACAGAAAGUAAACCGCCGUGAAGUUUUCGGACAUCGCGGUAAGGGUGAAACGGCGGGGUAAGAGCCCACCGGCGGAAUGGAGACAUUUCGGCCAUGUAAACCCCACCCGGAGCAACGCCGAGGAGAGACACUACUGUUGUCCGCAGGUCUCAUGGAGGCGGCUUGAACCGUUCGGAAACGUUCGGUCUAGACAGAUGAUCGCUCAAGACAGAACCCGGCUUACAGGCUUACUCGGGAA
rnacentral:RNase_P_RNA from 1 species